AUGGCUCCCGGCGCGGGGGGCGCUCCCCCUGGCGGCCGCCCCCCCUGCCUUGCCCCGACCUUCCUCCACCUCCUCCUCCUCCUCCUCCUCCUCCUCCUCCUCCUCCUGCUGCCCCCAGCGGCCCGGGAGGAACUGAACGGGCGCCGCACAGGAAGUAGCGGCUGCGGGGAGCAGUGGUGGUGGCGGUGGAGGAGGAGGAGGAGGAGGCAGAGGCAGCAGCAGCAGCAGCAGCAUCAGGGGCUGCGGCGCUCCAUGAGCCCAGGCUCCCGCAGCCGCCCGGCCCCGCUCGUCCCCGGCACUCAGCGCCCAAGCCCGGGGGCUGGAGCUUCCCGAGGAGAAGGAGGAGGAGGAGGAGGGAGGCAGGCAAAUGAGAAAGCAAAUCUCUUGAAACAUAAGCAGUGGUACUUCCCUGGAGGGAGGAGAUGGGAAUUCUCCUGUUACUCUGAGAGUUGCCAGGUGCCAGAAGUGGUCCACAGUGGUGGUGUCUCUCAUGCAUAAAAGGUGACAGCAAAAGUGGAAGGCUGAUGAGACCCCACUGACACAGCAAGAGGACAGUUUUUCAGGGUAAGAUUUUAAAACCCCGAAGCGUCUAGUGUCAGAUGUUGACAUUUUAAUGAUGAUCUCCAUGAUACCCUGCCCUCUUUGUGGGCUAUUAAUAGCUUUUUUAUAGGAAAGUAAUUUACUCCUGGUGAUUUUGCACACACAUGCAGCGUUGCUUUAGUAUUUUAAAAUGUUUCAAGGUCUAUUAUAGGAUGAGUCUUUUGCCACAAAACUUUAAUCNNNNNNNNNNUGGGUAGUACAGUUAGGUGAGUUUGCUGAGUUGAAAACCUUCAGAGCAGCUUGUUUUAAAAUUGUGUAAAUAUAAACUGAAGUCUUGUUGGCUUCCAUAGUGCAAUAGUGAUGCAGUGCAAGGUCUUCAAAGGCAAAUAUUCAAGGGUCAGUCUGCGGUUGAUGUAAUGAGACACAUAUACUUUUAACUUGUAAAAGCCUAUAGUGUAGAAGUAGGGAUUUUCCAAACCUUGUGGCAAGUUGCAAACUGAAGUAAUCUGCACUGCAUCAAUUUGGUAAUAACCUGACUCUGACUGAACUUAUUCACUUGAUGUCAGCGUGUGCAGUGAGACGUUUCUGGUUCAGUUUCAUGCUGUGGAGUCCCUUUCUUGUCUUUUGUUUAUUCUGAGAUUAGAGAGCUGUCGAUGCAUAGGUAAUGCCAGUUGGAAAAAAGCUUGGAGAGUAUGGCUGAGUGAUGAGAUACGCCUCUUGUAGAUAGGGGUUAUCUGGAAAGAAGAUUGUGUCCUUCAAGGUCAGAGGAGAGAAGCUUGAAGUUUAUAUACAGGGGUAAGUAUUUUAUCAGCGUCUUUCCCCUAAUACCCCAAGUUUUCCUGUUAUGCUAUAUUAAGAAAUUUAGCACAACUCAAACUUCUAAAAUAGCUGUGGCUGGGUAACAGGUACCUUUCUAGAGCAGGAAAUUGAAAUACUAUUAGCCUCAAAAUAUAUUAGCGGAUUUUUUGAUGAUAUAAGACCCUGUCUUAAUUUAUUUUCUUUCUUUUUUUUUAAUGAAAGCUUACUACAACUAGGAAUAGCUUCCUUGACACAGUCUGCUUUUCCUGUCUAUCAGAAGUAUCUCUUUCCCACACAAAUAACCCACGCCUUUGAUAAUCUGUAUCCUGCCCUUGAAAACAAAUUCUUAGCUAAUUUGCAUAAGAUCAGAGGCAUGAUGAUAUUGAGGUAGAAUAAACACUUUGGAGGUAAUGGGACCUGAGUCUUGUGGGCAAGAAAGUGACAACUCUAAGGAAACAGAAUAAGGAAGAGAGAAGUAAUCUCUUAUUGCUUGAAUAUUGCCCAAGAUGCUACUGUUGCUGCUGACUUGAGAUUUAGAUGAAGUAUCUUGUGUCCUGGAGCUGGAGGUAGUGCUUUCAUUUUGCUUUUAAUAGCUAUCCCAGAAGGUUUGUUGAAUUUUUUUUUUUUUUUUUUUGGGGGGGAGGGGGCAGAGGUAGGAGGGAGGAGUCUUGUACUGGCUUACACCAUUCAAAAUACUUCAAGUUAGUAGUUCUUAAGUGCAAGACUAAGGUGUUGCAUCAAAAUAAAAUGACAGAAGGGUUAGGCUCAGGAGUUUGCUUUGUUUUUUUUUUGUUUGUUUUUUUUNNNNNNNNNNGGGAGGAGUCUUGUACUGGCUUACACCAUUCAAAAUACUUCAAGUUAGUAGUUCUUAAGUGCAAGACUAAGGUGUUGCAUCAAAAUAAAAUGACAGAAGGGUUAGGCUCAGGAGUUUGCUUUGUUUUUUUUUUGUUUGUUUUUUUUUUUUUAAGCACCUCUUCGUAACUGAGAAAAUGUUAUUCUGUGUGUACUCAUAACCCUGAGGCAAGUAUGGUUGAAUGGGUGGUGUGACAUGCAUGUUGCAGUGCUCAUCAAGCUAAGAUUCAUAAAGCAGGCUUUCCAGUAGAAUAUGUUUCCUGGUAAUGCUUCAUCAGGGAUGGUGUUUUUUAUGUUUUUCUCUCCAGUGAGAGACAAAGGAAUAAAUAUAGAACAACUCAGGUGCUAAAAAUAUCCACAUGCAUUGACGUCUACUUCUUUUUUUUUUUUUUUUUCUUUAAAAUAGACCUUUUGGCUAUUUAGCAAGAUGCUUCAUAUCUGCUCAGAAUCAUUCUGGCUGCAGUGAUUUUUGAGGGAGAGACAAAUCAGCUGAUCUUAGAGAAUAGUUUAUCUUGGUUUGAUUUAAGAUUGCAAUGUGGGAAUAGACCAGACGCUAAAGAAGAGACUUGGUGUGGGUAAUGGCACGAGAAGUUAGUUUAAUCACUGUAGCUGUAGAAUAUGGCCAUUUACAAUCUCAGAGAUUAAAAGACUGCUCAGCUCUUGUGUUUAUGGAAAAAAAGAUACUAAAUAUCUCAGUCAAACACUGAGAUACAUGAUAGAUCUCAAUGAAAAGAUGGUCCCUUGAUAGGAAAACUGCUUGUACUGAAUGGCUUCAGAUACAGUCUAAAUUCUGGCCUCCUUUUAAGUGUGAGAUGAGGAGAUGAAUAAUCUUCCAAAAGAUCUCUAAUCUUAGAAGCUGAGAUUUUUCAGAGCAGGAGAACGAUAUACGUGAAAUGGAUUUUGAAGUCAUUCUCAGUUUGCAGAUGAUCUGCUGCAGACACGGUUCCUUGCACAUAGUUUUCCACUGGGUACAUUUCGAAUAGCCUUUAGAGAUCUGCGUUCUGAGAACAAACUGGUGAAUCAAUUAAUGUAUUUAAAUUAGUUGAAAAUUAGACUAUUGCUUCAGUGUCCUGCCAGGCAGGACUUCAGAAUUUAUUAAUUCGGCCUCACGUUCCUUUAUUUACAAGCGGUGCCUACGUUUCAGUGUCCAGAAGCACUGAGAUCAGCCAGAGCAGGUGCAUGCUGCUCCUCCUACUGCUGCCAAAGGGGAUGCUGCUCGGGGAGGAAGGGUCGAGGCUUUUUGGCAUCUUGCAGGUGUGCAGCAGCUGCUAGUUUAGAGCACAGGGAGUCAGAGGGAGCCCAGGAGGUGUCAGCCCUCCUUCCUGACAGAUGUUAGCCUGGCCUGCUUGUAAAGGCUUCUGGCAACUGCCUCCCAAUACGUGAUGUGAUUUUGCGUCACCAUCUUUCCUCCAUGAAAAUAAGUUUCUUUAAAGCCAGCCUGGCACGGCUGUGGGGGAGCAAGUUGUUCCUGCAGCCCCCUGGGUGUUUCAAACCAUGACCAUGUCCUGGCCAUCACCAUCCCUUCACCGCUGUGCCUCUGCCUCCCCAUUGCCGCCGCUGCGGCCACUUCUCCCUUUCCAAUUUAACAGCAGCUCAGAUGUAAAUCAGGGUUUAGGCGUUAAAAAUAGCUGGCACCUGCUCCAGCCAUGCUCAGCCGGGGUGAGCUGGGGCACUGCUGCUGCCUGUGCCAGCCAUGGGGCUGGCGGGAGGGCUGAGGUGAGGCCUUCUCCACCCACCGCCAGUGGGGCAGCCCCGGCCCCUCAGAGGGCCCUGCAUCACCCGCUGGCAGGCUCAUCAGCUGCACUCGUGGAUGAUUAAUAAAAUACUCGUUUUCUGUCUCUGCAGCUGUGUUCUCUUCUAUUUAAGUUAUUUUCCUCUGCUUUUAACUUCAAAAAAAAAAAAAGUUUACUCUUGCUCAGUUUGGCCAAGUCCAAAGUCCAAGCUAGGACAAUGUAAAGAUAAUGCAUCCUAUUAGGAAUUACCUUAUUAUUUCAUAUUAUAAUUAGCUCAAGCUCCAUCAGCCUUCUGGAAAUCUUAUUUAUGUAUUUCUGAUUAACUAGAAAUACUAUAAAGAUAGUAAUAAAAAAAUUCCCAUGUGUAAACAAGGUGGUGGUGGGGGGGACACUAGUUCAAAGGCUGAGGGCACAUAUUUUUCUGGAGCAGAUAACACUAGGCUGUGGCAUGUAGCUCUGUUAAAGAUGUGCAUUUGGAAAAGAAAAAGAAAAAAAAUCUUGGCCACUUCUUCUUGGAAAGGAAUAUGUGGAAUAUAUCUGACUUCUUGAGAUCCUGAAGAGCUGAUGCAUGUAAAAUUAUCGUCUCCUUCACUGCAAUAACUUCGCCCGUAACAGAGAAGAGCACUUUUUUCUCAGAAUACAGCUGUAUUUAACUGUACUUCCCUAGUCUGUGCUAUUGAGUGAGACAUGACAGCUAACGCAGCUAGUUUCACUGUUGCC
rnacentral:lncRNA from 1 species